GAUGAACGCUGGCGGCGUGCCUAAUACAUGCAAGUCGAGCGAACGGACGAGAAGCUUGCUUCUCUGAUGUUAGCGGCGGACGGGUGAGUAACACGUGGAUAACCUACCUAUAAGACUGGGAUAACUUCGGGAAACCGGAGCUAAUACCGGAUAAUAUAUUGAACCGCAUGGUUCAAUAGUGAAAGACGGUUUUGCUGUCACUUAUAGAUGGAUCCGCGCCGCAUUAGCUAGUUGGUAAGGUAACGGCUUACCAAGGCAACGAUGCGUAGCCGACCUGAGAGGGUGAUCGGCCACACUGGAACUGAGACACGGUCCAGACUCCUACGGGAGGCAGCAGUAGGGAAUCUUCCGCAAUGGGCGAAAGCUUGACGGAGCAACGCCGCGUGAGUGAUGAAGGUCUUCGGAUCGUAAAACUCUGUUAUUAGGGAAGAACAAAUGUGUAAGUAACUAUGCACGUCUUGACGGUACCUAAUCAGAAAGCCACGGCUAACUACGUG
rnacentral:rRNA from 1 species